AGAACGCAGGUGUCAUACCCUGAAGACCCCGGCGCCCUGUCCCCCACCCCACUCUCUCAAUGGCCAUCUCUUUAAACACUCCUCCUCCCUUCCGCUUCCUCUCAGGCUCACCACCCCCAUUCCCCCUUUCUAAUUUAACCCCAAUUUCACCCUCACUCAACCAUAAUCGCCUCAGUUCUUCGAGGUUCAAUUUCCCUGCACCAACAACCAAGCUUCCCACCAUCAACUGCAAUUACACCGCUUUUGAAGUUAGAGAUGUUAGCUAUCAGCCUCCGGGGACUCAGCUUAAGCUACUGAAUUCAGUUAGUUUCUCACUUCCGGAGAAAAGUUUUGGUCUAAUUUUCGGACAAAGUGGAAGUGGGAAAACAACACUCUUGCAGCUUCUUGCAGGAAUAAGCAAACCGACCACUGGAUCCAUUUACAGCCAAAAGUAUGGAAAUGAUGGAAAUCCUAUCCAGCCUCCUGAGCCUUUGUCACCAGAAAGAGUUGGUAUUGUCUUCCAGUUUCCUGAGAGGUAUUUUUUAGCUGAAACUGUGCUUGAUGAAGUCACUUUUGGGUGGCCAAGGCAAAAGGGUAGCUAUCAAUUGAGAGAAAAUCUUGCUUUAGGGCUUCAAAGGGCAAUUAACUGGGUUGGAUUAAAUGGGAUAUCAUUGGACAAAAAUCCUCACUCCCUUAGCGGCGGUUACAAACGCCGCCUUGCUUUGGCAAUUCAAUUAGUGCAAAUCCCUGAUCUAUUGAUAUUGGAUGAGCCUCUUGCUGGACUUGAUUGGAAAGCACGUGCAGAUGUUGUGAAGCUUUUAAAGCAUCUAAAAAGGGAGUUAACUGUUCUUGUUGUCAGCCAUGACUUGAGAGAGUUUGCAAGUCUUGUUGAUCGAUCAUGGAAGAUGGAGAUGGGUGGCAACCUCAGAGAGGAGUUACUUCCAUUGUAGUUCAUACUCGCUGCCUUUUUAUUAGCACCGGAUUCUAUGAGACGCUUCACUUGGAGGAAGACGUUGGUCCCGACGGAGCUAUUGACGGCGUUUUGACGGCGCCGUGACGGAGGAACUGUUUGUUAAGAGAUGUCUAACUUUGCAGUACUCGUGUUUCACCAUGGUGAGAGACUUGGGAAGGAUAGUACCGGGGUGUUGAAGUAUUUGAAUGGAAAGGUACAUAAAUUUUCUCCAAUAGACUUAGAUUUAGUGAACUUUUUUUUUUAUCUAAAAGAACUACUAAAGAGUUUAGGAUAUGCUGAUUAUGCUGUAAUGUACUGAUUAGAACCCACAGCUCAAAAUUUAGAAUUUGGUCUGUAUGUGAUUAAGGGAGAUUCUGAGAUAAAUCAUUUGAGAAACAGUUUAUUGGCGAAUGACUGUUUAGAAUUUAAUUUAUACUUUGAACACCCAGUUGGUGAGCCUUGCUAUGUUAACGAGAAUUUAGGUUAGGUUACCCUUCAAGUUAAGGAUUCUUCCUCCUCAUCCUCAUCUGAUGAAGAUGAUGGAAGUUCAGAGGAUGAGGCAUACAAUCCUCCUUCAGAUGCAUAUGAUGAGAGUAGUGACACUGAUAGUGACGAAGACAGAAUGAAGUUGAGGACACAUACUAAUAAGAAAGUUGCUGAUAAGAAAGAUGAUUGUGAUAAUGAAAAGGGUGGUGCUGACGGGAAGGCUGCUAGAAAUGUGAAUACGGACAAGAAGAAGGCUAAUUCAAGGAAGUAUGCGGAAAAAAGAAAGAAACAUGCUUAGCCCAACUUUAGUCCUAGUGGAAGGGAUAAUGUUAGAUUUGGUUUAGGAGCCAAUAUAGGUGGACAACAUACUGGGAUUAGUGGUUCUAAGGCCUAACCUGGUUCUAGACAAGAUAAAAGUGGGUCAAGUCACACUAAGAGUUUUGAGCCCAUUAUAGAAGAAGUUGAUUUUGAAGAAGAGAAGGAGUAUGUUUAUGAGAGUAAAGCAUUUGUGUCUCCUAUUUCAUCAGAUGAUGAAGGAGGUAAUAAACAUUAAUGGCCAGAGCACAAAACCGAUUAUGGCUAUGGAGAAGUGUACUUUGAGUUGGGUAUGGAGUUCGACAUAAUGGCCGAGUUCAAGGAGUGCUUGAAGGAUUACUUUGUUUACGAGGAAAAGGAAAGUCGAUAUAUUAGGAACGAACCAAAAAGAAUCAGGGCGACGUGUGCUGAUGAAGGAUGUCCGUGGUUAAUCUAUACCUCAUACAAUUCUAGAGAUUGUUGCUAUCAGAUCAAAACUUUUGUAGAUAACCAUACAUGUGGGAGGGAUUUUGUUUCUAAUAUAGCCGACUACAAGUGGGUUGCAAGCAAGUUGGUUAAGAUUUUGGAAACUCGGCCGGACUUAACACCAAAAGAGGCUAAGGUGCACAUGGUUGACGAGUAUAAUGUGCAACUGCAUGACAAGAUGGUCGCAAGAGACUUGAAGGCUGCAAGGGAACAAGUAAUUGGAAAGGAAGGAGAACAAUACGAUAAAUUACAAGACUACUUGAGUGAGCUGUUAAGGAGCAACCCAGGUUCCACUGCAAUGAUGUGGAAAAUACCUCAACCAGAGAGUCUGCCACUAUUUGAUAGGCUUUACAUCUCGCUUGAGGCUUGUAUGCUUGGGUUCAAGGUUGGUUGCAGGCGGUUGAUUGGCUUUGACGGAUGCUUUCUGAAAGAAAAUUAUGGUGGACAGCUCCUAUCCGCAAUAGCACAAGACGAAAACAAUCAUUUUUUUGUUAUAUCUUAUGCAAUGUGUGGCAGCUCACAGGUAAUUCAUGUAUACUAUUCUAUCAUUAGUUAUAUCAAGUUUAUCUGCUCUAUCAUUAUGGUAUUUGAUUUAUUAAAAUUGUAUGUAGGGCUUCCAUGCAAGCAUGCAGUUGCUGCAAUUUUUAGAUUGAAAAAUAUCGGAUACACAUUAGAAGAUUUUGUCAAUAAGUCACUGUAAUGGUUGCUGUUCGAGCAGCAUACUCCUAUGUGAUCCAACCAGUAAACAGUGAGGAAUAUUGGAUCUCCACAGAUUGUCAAGGAAUCCUCCCUCCCCCAAUCGUACGUCCAGCUGGCCGGCCAAAACUUAGGAGGAUGAAAGCUCCUAUCGAAAUGGUGAUUGGCAAUAAAGUUAGGAGAUCCACCAAGUAACUUGUAGUAAGUAUGGAGAGAAAGGUCAUUAUCACAAGACUUGCAAAGGUGCCCCUAAGGAUCCAAAUUGGCAAUCAAAGACUAAAAAGACAAAGAAGGAUAGCAAGACUCAAUCAAGAAUUUUCGUAGGAGCAGCAACAAACAAGCUAGGACAACAACAUGAUCCAAUGGUUGCAUUUGUUAUUUUGUGUAUUCUAUUUUUUUAAUUAUGUUAAUUCUAUUAGGUCUGUUAUGUGUUGUUGAUUGUAAAUUGCUGAAUCUAUAUGUUAUAUUUGCAUCAUCAUUUCUAGGUAAAGGCAAACAAAUAAGAAAAAGAUGCCAAAAGUGAAAGCCUCGCCCAAUGUAGAUUUUGGUGAAGAGAUUGAUUUAUCUCAAUCUGCACCUCCUAAUGAUGGACCUGUGAGUAUAGGAUUGUAUUUGGUGACUUUAGUAUUGUUCAUUUUUUGGGCUGAAAUGGUUCUUCUAUCUUGUACAAGCUACAUAGCAAAUUCCCGAAUUUUCUGUUGGGUUUCGAAUGAAGCAAACCAUUGUGAGGCCGCUAAUACUAUCCACUCAAAACCAUUUAGAGCCACCUGGACCAGCUACCUCAGGGACAUCCGGCAGCUUGUUUACCUUCAUGCCAACACCUGAUUUUAGGACUCUAACUAACACUUGAGGAGAUUCAUUAAUGGAUUAAAAGCACCAAGUGAAGACUCAUGUAUUUUGUUAGUUUAUAAGUGAAGAGUCAUAUGUAUCUUAUGAACUCAAUUAAUUAUCUUUUGGUUCCUUAAUAUUUGUAAAUGAAUUCGCUAGUAUAUAAGUUAGACAACUAGCAAUUUAGGGACAUAUUAUUUUACUUUUGCACAGCACAAACAGUCAUACUUUGGUGCUAAGUUUAUUAUAAUAGAUUAUGGAACUAUUUUAGAUUGUGUUUAUAGCUCCAUCUUUAUUAUCAUAUAGCACAUAUGAAAAUUAUAUUGUACAGACUUUUUUUAAUUUGAUGAAACAUAUAUUUAACUUACGAUUAUUUUAUUGAUAAACCACUAUUUUAUGGUUUAUCUUAUACUCAAUCGAGUGGUUUUUAUCAAGUUUUUGCAUACUUAUCCAUACAAUUUGCAUAAUUUUAUAAUUCCUUCCCAAUUUGGUUCUGUGGUUGAAAACUUGCUUCCUAAACUUUUAAAUUAUAUCUUUUUAAUCUCCUUUUAUACCAUUCGAUGUCGUGAUCCGUGCGUUAAGUGUUUUCAGACUAUAUAGGGCAUGAAUGGCUUAGAGGAUGGAGAGGAAGCUUGCAUAAAUGGAAGGAGCACAAGAAUUAAAGGAGAUAACCAGCGAGGAGCGACACGUGCGCGUACCUGACGCGUGCGCGUGAUUUGGAGAUUUGCACGGCGACGCGUGCGCAUACCUGACGAGUACGCGUGACACGCGAAGAAGACCAUCGACGCGUACGCGUGACUGAUGCGUACGCGUGACAUGCACCACAUGCAGAAAACGCGGGGGGCGAUUUCGGGCCGAGUUUCGACCUAGUUUUCGGCCCAAAAACACAUACUAGAGCCAAGGAAUAGCAGAGACAUUCACACAUUCGCACAUUCAUAGUUUAGUUUUAGUUUUUUGAAUCUUGGAGAGAAAAUCACUACUUCCUCUAGGGUUCUUCACAUUCAUAGAUUUCUAGUUUUAUACUUUUGAUUUGGAUAUUGAGAAGAGUUACCACCUCCGUUGAAGUUUCCAUUAUUCUAGUUUGUUUCCUUAUUCCUUUACACUUUUAAUUACCCAUUUACCUUGUUCAGAUACGUAUGUUUAUGGUUUUGGGAUUUAUUAAU